GGCGGCCAUCUUGGUUGGUUGGCGGGGUCACCGAACACAAUUUUUAAACUAGAUACCCCAAUGAUGAUUGUAACCAAGUUUGGUUGAAAUUAGCCCAGCAGUUUCAGAGGAGAAGAAUUUUGUAAAAGUUAACGACGGACGACGACGACGGACGACGGACGCCGGACGACGGACGCCGGACGCCGGACGCCAAGUGAUGAGAAAAGCUCACUUGGCCCUUCGGGCCAGGUGAGCUAAAAAUG
rnacentral:lncRNA from 1 species